AUUGAACGCUGGCGGCAGGCCUACCACAUGCAAGUCGAACGAGUGGCGGACGGGUGAGUAAUGUAUGGGAAAUGGCCUGAUGGAGGGGGAUAACUACUGGAAACGGUAGCUAAUACCGCAUACCAUCGGAUGUGCCCAGAUGGGAUUAGCUAGUAGGUGGGGUAAAGGCUCACCUAGGCGACGAACCCGAGCUGGUCUGAGAGGAUGACCAGCCACACUGGAACGGAGACACGGUCCAGACUCCUACGGGAGGCAGCAGUGGGGAAUAGUGCACAAUGGGCGCAAUCCUGAUGCAGCCAUGCCGCGUGUAUGAAGAAGGCCUUCGGUUUGUAAAGUACUUUCAGCGGGGAGGCGUUACCCGCAGAAGAAGCACCGGCUAACUCCGUGCCAGCCGCCGCGGUAAUAC
rnacentral:rRNA from 1 species